GGUAAGAUGGCUGAGUAUUAAGCGGUGGCUUGUAGUCCCAUGGACGGAGGUUAAAUUCCUUCUCUUACCA
rnacentral:tRNA from 2 species